GAUGAACGCUGGCGGCAUGCUUAACACAUGCACGUCGGACGGGAAGUGGUGUUUCCAGUGGCGGGCGGGUGAGUAACGCGUAAGAACCUGCCCUUGGGAGGGGAACAACAGCUGGAACCGGCUGCUAAUACCCCGUAGGCUGAGGAGCAGAAGGCGGAAUCCGCCCGAGGAGGGGCUCGCGUCUGAUUAGCUAGUUGGUGAGGCAAUAGCUUCCCAAGGCGAUGAUCAGUAGCUGGUCCGAGAGGAUGAUCAGCCACGCUGGGACUGAGACACGGCCCAGACUCCUCCGGGGGGCAUCAGUGGUGGUUUUUCCGGAGUGGGCGAGAGCCUGACGGAGCAAUGCCGCGGGGAGGUAGAAGGCCUACGGGUCGUGAACUUCUUUUCCCGGAGAAGAAGCAAUGACGGUAGCUGGGGAAUAAGCAUCGGCUAACUCUGCG
rnacentral:rRNA from 1 species